rnacentral:rRNA from 1 species
GACAGAGGGUGCAAACGUUGUUCGGAAUUACUGGGCGUAAAGCGCGCGUAGGCGGCUUUGUAAGUUAGAGGUGAAAGCCCGGGGCUCAACUCCGGAAUUGCCUUUAAGACUGCAUCGCUAGAAUUGUGGAGAGGUAAGUGGAAUUCCGAGUGUAGAGGUGAAAUUCGUAGAUAUUCGGAAGAACACCAGUGGCGAAGGCGACUUACUGGACACAUAUUGACGCUGAGGUGCGAAAGCGUGGGGAGCAAACAGG